GAUGAACGCUAGCUACAGGCUUAACACAUGCAAGUCGAGGGGAAACGAUAGAGAAAGCUUGCUUUUUCUAGGCGUCGACCGGCGCACGGGUGAGUAACGCGUAUCCAACCUGCCCACCACUUGGGGAUAACCUUGCGAAAGUACGACUAAUACCCAAUGAUAUCUCUAGAAGACAUCUGAAAGGGAUUAAAGAUUUAUCGGUGAUGGAUGGGGAUGCGUAUGAUUAGCUUGUUGGCGGGGUAACGGCCCACCAAGGCUACGAUCAGUAGGGGUUAUGAGAGGAAGGUCCCCCACAUUGGAACUGAGACACGGUCCAAACUCCUACGGGAGGCAGCAGUGCGGAAUAUUGGUCAAUGGACGAGAGUCUGAACCAGCCAAGUAGCGUGCAGGAUGACGGCCCUAUGGGUUGUAGACUGCUUUUAUAAGGGAAUAAAGUGAGUCUCGCGAGACUUUUUGCAUGUACCUUAUGAAUAAGGACCGGCUAAUUCCGUGCCAGCCGCCGCAGUAA
rnacentral:rRNA from 1 species